rnacentral:rRNA from 1 species
GACAGAGGUGCCAAGCGUUAGGCGGAAUCACUGGGCUUAAAGCGCGUGUAGGUGGCGGCCUAAGUACCUUGUGAAAUCCUGCGGCUCAACCGCAGAACUGCUCGGUAUACUGGGUCGCUUGAGCCAUCCAGGGGCAACCGGAAUUCUCGGUGUAGCGGUGAAAUGCGUAGAUAUCGAGAGGAACACCUGAGGUGAAGACGGGUUGCUGGGCUGACACUGACGCUGAGGCGCGAAAGCCAGGGGAGCAAACGGG